rnacentral:rRNA from 1 species
AUGCUCCACACCCGCGCAGAGGUUCCAUUUCAAGUGCCCCUCGAGGUUAACGUUGUUCUGAUUGGUUUCAACGGUGAUGGAGGGUAUAGAUACCCUUUGGAUGGGCACAAGCUUGAGCAAUUCCUAAAGAUGAGCUUUCCACUCCAUAGGCCCUCUUGUUUCGAGACAGGGGAGCCAAUUGAUAUUGAGCACCAUAUCAUGUAUAAUGUCAUAGCGGCUGGACAACCAGAGCUUAUUUCGCUUGAGAAGUCACUGAAGGAGGCUAUGGUUUCUGCAGGAACUGCGAGAGAGAGUGAAUAUGGUAGGGAAUUCCCUCUCUUUGAGGUAGAAGCAACUGUAGUGGAACCUACAUUCGAGAGGCUAUACUCAUUUAUUUUUGAUAUGGAGCCUGGUCGCUCUGCAACUGAGAUGGAUAGGCCUGUACCUGUUGCAAUAUUUGUUGUUAAUUUUGAUAAGGUCAGAAUGGAUCCUCGGAACAAAGGAGUUGAUCUUGACAGUUUAAUGUAUAGUAAAAUUAAUGGACUGACAGAACAAGAGCUAAAAAAGCAAGAAGCGGAUUACAUCUACCGUUACCGGUACAAUGGAGGUGGAGCAACUCAAGUUUGGCUGAGUUCUGGAAGAUUUGUUGUAAUAGAUCUGUCAGCAGGCCCUUGUACAUAUGGGAAAAUAGAAAGUGAAGAAGGCAGUGUUAGUUAUAGGUCAAUGCCGCGGCUGUCAAAUAUAAUCUUCCCAAGAGGACUUGCUGCUCCAAGUGCCAGUUCAACACAAGAUAUUUUUGUUGGGCAGCUUGCAGGUUUAAUUUCAACCACCAUUGAGCACGUAAUAGCUCCUGAUAUCAGGUUUGAAACUGUUGACAUGACAUUGAGGUUGCUUGUACCUAUCAUUGUGCUACAGAACCACAAUAGGUACAAUAUUCUUCAAGCCGGCCACAACAACAGUAUAGAUGUUAAAGCUAUUGAAAGAGAGGUAAAAAAGAUGGUCCAUGCUGGGCAGGAGGUUAUAGUAAUUUCUGGUUCGCAUGCACUGCAUGAGCACGAAAAGUUAGCUGUUGCGGUCUCCAAAGCAAUGCGUAGUCAUUCUCUUCAUGAAACAAAGAGUGAUGGUCGAUUUCACGUCCGUACCAAAACAUACUUGGAUGGAGCAAUACUCAAAGAGGAAAUGGAACGUUCUGCCGAUGUGCUGUCGGCUGGUUUAUUGGAAGUCUCGGAUCCUUCCCUCUCAAGUAGAUUCUUCCUGAAGCAGGUGUUAUCUAUGAGAAACAAUUUUUGUCAACAACAGCAUUGGAUGGAUGAGCAAGAUAAUGUACAAGAUUCUAUCAAGCACAAGCCUAUUUGGGAAUCUUACAUGCCCAGAAAUAAGAAAGAAAAGCGAGGAGCUGGAAAAAAGAAACAUGGAGCCAUGUACAGAACUUAUGGAACCAGAGUGAUUCCAGUCUUUGUAUUAUCAUUGGCUGAUUUUGAUGCUGAGCUUAUGAUGGAAGAGGAAAGCCUUGUUUGGACAAGUAAAGAUGUUGUCAUUGUAUUGGAGCAUAACAAUAAAAUGAUUCCUCUAAGCUACGUGUCAGAAACAACUAGGCAGUUUGCGUAUCCAUCUCUAGCACAGCGUCACAUCUUGGCUGGUUUGGCUUCCGCAGUUGGAGGUCUGAGUGCACCGUAUGAACGGGCAUCACGUAUUCAUGAAAGACCAAUUGUGAACUGGCUAUGGUCUGCUGGUUGUCAUCCUUUUGGACCAUUCUCAAACUCCUCUCAGAUCAGUCAAAUCCUUCAGGACGUUGCACUGAGAACUACAAUCUAUGCCCGGGUUGAUGCAGCUCUUCGCAAAAUAAGGGACACGUCAGAGUCCGUUCAAUCAUUUGCGUCAGAUCAUCUUAAGACGCCAUUAGGAGAACCUGUCAAAGGUAAUAAAAACAAGUCUAGCACUGAGUUAUGGGUAGAGAAAUUCUAUAAGAAGGUGACCACAAUGCCGGAGCCUUUCCCCCAUGGCCUUGUUGAACGUUUAGAAGAGUACCUGGAUAGGCUUGAGGAACAACUUGUGGAUCUAUCUUCAUUGCUCUAUGACCACCGUCUGGUUGAUGCUUCUCAAAACAGUUCCGACAUCCUUCAGAGCACUAUAUUUACAGAACAGUAUGUAGAACGUGUUCUUUCUGCGGAGAGAGACAAGAUGAAGUGCUGCAGCAUUGAAUAUAGUCACCCGAAACAGUCAUCCCAGGCUUUUGUCUAUGGAGGGAUCCUUCUGGCUGGAUUUCUUGUCUACUCAUUGGUUAUUUUCUUCUCUUCACCAGUUCGAUAA